GGGAGUGUGGUGGAACUGGCAGACGCACUGGACUCAAAAUCCAGCGAUGGCAACAUCAUGUGGGUUCGAUUCCCACCACUCCCACCA
rnacentral:tRNA from 1 species